rnacentral:lncRNA from 11 species
CGCCCCUCGCAGACCUCCCGUACCUGAACGGCAGCGUUGCGGGAGUUCAGUCUGAAUCAGGCGCUUGGCGAGGAAGGAAGGAAAGGAAGAAAGAAAGAGCGGGUGCUGGAGAAGAGCUCCGCCUUGGAUGAGAAGACCAGAAACGCGGGGGGAAAGGGGAGAGAAGGAAGGAAAGAAAGAAGGAAGGAGCCUCCAUCCCACUCCGCCCCGAGCUGGCGCGCUCUUCCCAUGCGCAGAGGCCACGCCACGCGACCAGCCAUGCGCCCGCCGCCGCCGCCUCGGCUGAUGCUCCUGCUGGUGCUGCUCCUGGCCUCCUCCUGCCCGGGAGUUGGAGGCAGGAAGGCGCUGACCGAUGCUGGCUGCACAAAGAAUGGCGCUUCCCACAGGCAGCAGCCACCUGAGAAUGGCAACUUCUGCCCUAGACUUGACUGGUACUAUGCCCAUUUCUAUUUACUCCAUUCAAGUUAUAUUAUAUCAAUUCACUAUCGUACUAAUACUGAUUGUUUAUGAAACAAUGUAUUAUUGAAAAUGGAAAAAUAUAGCAAUGGAAAAAACAUCCAC